UCCCUAUGGGGUGCAGCAGGCGCGAAACCUCCUCAAUGCACUAACGUGCGAAGGGGUUACCUCGAGUGCUAUCUGAAGAAGGUGGCUUUUCCUUGGUCUAAAAAGCCUUGGGAAUAAGAGGGGGGCAAGACUGGUGUCAGCCGCCGCGGUAAUACCAGCUCUCCGAGUGGUAGGGAUGAUUAUUGGGCUUAAAGCGUCCGUAGCCGGCUUAGCAAGUCUCCUGUUAAACUCAGCGACCUAAUCGUUGACCCGCGGGAGAUACCACUAGGCUAGGAGGCGGGAGAGGUCGACGGUACUUCUGGGGUAGGGGUGAAAUCCUAUAAUCCCGGGAGGACCACCAGUGGCGAAGGCUGUCGACUAGAACGCGCCUGACGGUGAGGGACGAAAGCUGGGGGAGCGAACCGGAUUAGAUACCCGGGUAGUCCCAGCUGUAAACGAUGCGGGCUAGGUGUCGGAGCAGCUACGAGCUGCUUCAGUGCCGCAGAGAAGUCGUUAAGCCCGCCGCUUGGGAAGUACGAUCGCAAGAUUGAAACUUAAAGGAAUUGGCGGGGGAGCACCACAAGGGGUGAAGCUUGCGGUUCAAUUGGAUUCAACGCCGGAA
rnacentral:rRNA from 1 species